rnacentral:rRNA from 1 species
AUUGAACGCUGGCGGCAUGCUUUACACAUGCAAGUCGAACGGCAGCGCGGGCUUCGGCCUGGCGGCGAGUGGCGAACGGGUGAGUAAUGCAUCUGAACGUGCCCAGUAGUGGGGGAUAGCCCGGCGAAAGCCGGAUUAAUACCGCAUACGACCUGAGGGUGAAAGCGGGGGACCGAAAGGCCUCGCGCUAUUGGAGCGGCCGAUGUCGGAUUAGCUAGUUGGUGGGGUAAAGGCUUACCAAGGCGACGAUCCGUAGCUGGUCUGAGAGGACGACCAGCCACACUGGGACUGAGACACGGCCCAGACUCCUACGGGAGGCAGCAGUGGGGAAUGUUGGACAAUGGGGGCAACCCUGAUCCAGCCAUGCCGCGUGCGGGAAGAAGGCCUUCGGGUUGUAAACCGCUUUUGUUCGGGAAGAAAUCCUCUGGGCUAAUACCCCGGGGGGAUGACGGUACCGGAAGAAUAAGCACCGGCUAACUACGUG